rnacentral:tRNA from 1 species
GGGGUUGUGGCUCAGCGGUAGCGUGCCACAACUAAAAAAAAAUGGAUAUUAAAAGAAAUUGUUUUUUAAAAAAAUAAAUAAAUAAAAUAAAUGUGAUGAUCUCUGAUCUUAUUUUGACCAAAUGUUUUAAACCUUUGAUUUUUAAAAUUUUUUUUAAUAUUUAUUUUUCAGUUUUAGUUGGACACAAUACCUUUAUUUUAUUUAUUUUUAUGUGGUGCUGAGGAUCGAACCCAGGGCCUCA